UACUCGCCCUCUACAGCAAUAAAAGGUAAUUUAACAUUUUCACCUUCAUUCGCCAUAUUGCUUAAUAAUGUAAUAAGUAAUAUCAAAAACUACCAUGCAAUACUUAGCCAAAAUUAGCAAGUAGAAAAAAUUCUUUUCCUCCUCGAGAAAAACGUGACUGCACUCCACAACGGCGGAAAAGAAAAGAUGAUACCGGAUGUUGGUUUCUGAGCAUGUCAGAGGUGGCGGGUCACGAAGGGUGCUUUUUUGUUUACAUGGUUUUUUUCCGAUACAAGACUGCAAGCAGGUGAAUAUCUAAAUUUAUAAAGGUAACGUAUUUAUUGUGAUAAAUUUGAUAUCAACAGACGCCAUGAUGCGAUACCAGUAAACAUCUUGAAUAUGAAUCGAGAACAGGAGUUGAUGCAGAUAUUCUGAGGAGAAUCUUCCAAUCAUUGAAAUAUAUUUCAUGUUAGUCGUGAAGAUACAGAAGUUGUGAUGGUGUGUUGAUAGGCUGUCUUCAACUUGCCAUAUCUGAGAGUUCCAACAUGCAGGCCUGGAUUAUGUAUAAAUCACUAAUGAAGUUACUUAGUGUUAUUUAGUUUUUAAAAAAGAAUGACAUUUCAAUUUAUACACACUUGCCAAGUGAAUCUGAUGAGACUGCUACAUGUAUUUGUGAGUAAAGGCACUGUCUUAACCGAAAAACUAUUUACAGUUUAUCACAACAAAUGGAUGGGACAGUAGAGUUGUUGCGGACAAUAUGUGAUUGUGAUGACCAAGUACUGAACAAGUGGAAGAUUAGAAGAAGGUCCAGAAUUCAAUCAUGUUUUUGAUUCUAAGGCGCAGACAACAUGGAGAUAGUCCUAUUAUUCUCCCAUUCAUCUAUGAUGGAGAAACUUGUGUAAAUGUUUACAGUGUUCUCCCUAAUAAGUGCCCACAAGUCUGUAUUAAUUUAUCAGAAUAUAAAGUCCUUAACAGUACUGACUUUAAAAUUCAUGUAGAUUGUCUCCAGAUUUUUCUGAGGAAAAGUGCAUAUUUUACAUGUGUGAAUUUUGAAUAUAUUUCAUUCUUGUCUGCAAAUGUUGCCGAAACCUGUUAUUAAUGCACAGUCAUGUUAUGCAAAUGAUAGACCUCCUUUUUAAUUACAUGUCCUUAAGAUCAUGUCAACUCCUUUGUUUUAAUUGUAUAUACAAUUCUAGCAUUUAUAGCAUCAUUUGUAUAGCACUUGCUAGUUUAAUAAGGAUUUUAUUUUUUAAAAACUUUCAUUUGACAUGAUUGAUCUAAAACGGCCAAAAUUCACAAAUCUAUUCAAAUCACAACCUGACCUUAGGCCAGAAAAGUGCCACAGUGGGUUGAUAUUUUUCUCUUGGAUCUUGAAAGAAAUUCUUUAUGCAGCAGUUUCCAAAUAAAUGUACUCUCAUGGCCAGGGUGGGACUUCACCGAGAACUUUUAAACAUUGCACAAUGCAAUAUUUGUGGAUUAGAAGCUGUUGCAGUUUCUUUAAGUUUUCUCUCACAUCUUGUUAUAAUUAUAUUUUAUAUUUUUGGUCGGGUUGCACAAUGUUCAAACAGUUUAUAAAAUGGUGAAUGACUGGUGGGCAAGCGACAAUAGCGUCCCUGUAAUAGUACCUACUUUGUGUAAUCAACUCCUUUCACACCUCUCACUUGAUGUUCCUCAAACUUUGUACAGUUGUUAGGGAUACAUUGAAGAUGUGCGUGUACCUUUUUGAAAGUGAUCAGACAUUUUUUUGAAAAAUUUACUUGUAGUUAAACUUCGUCAUUUUUUAAGCAUUUCUUUAAUCGACAGUAUCUAUUUUGUGUAAUCAACUCCUCGUUUACCUCUAAUUUGACAUUCCUCAAACUGUGUCAGUUGUUAUGAAUACAUUGAAGAUGUGCAUAUGUGUUUUUGAAAGUGAUCAGACAUUUUGUUAAAAAAAAAUGUACAUGUAGUUGAACUUAAGUCAUUUUAAAGCAUUUCUUGAAUAGAUGGUACCUAUUUUGUGUAAUCAACUCCUCUUACAGAAUUUUUUUGACAUUCUUCAGACCUUGAACAGCUGUUAUGGAAGCAUUGGAAAUGUGCAUGUGUCUUUUCGGAAGUGAUCAGGCAUUCUUUGAAAAAUUUACAUGUGCUUGAUGAAGUUGAACUUAGUCAUUUUUUAAGCAUGGUACUUUAUGUAACCAACUCAGCUUGUACUUAACAUUUUCCAGACCCUGUACAUUAUAGAUGUUAUAAAAACAUUGAAGAAAUACAUGUAACAUUUUAAAAAUGCUUCUCUUUUUUUUUUUCUUUUUUUUUUUUUGGUUGAAAAAUUCUACCUUUGUCAUUUUUCCAGUAUGUUUCUACUGUUGUUCCUAUGAUAGAUAACAUAUUUUACAAGAACCUGGUCAUUUCUGUUUUUGAAUCUCUCUUUUUUAAUUAGUAUUUUUGAAUAUAUGUUAAUUUAAUACUUGAUAUGUCAUUGUUCUUGAAAUUAUAUUAAUUGAAUUAUUA